GACGAACGCUGGCGGCGUGCUUAACACAUGCAAGUCGAACGGAAAGGCCUCUUUCGGGGGGUACUCGAGUGGCGAACGGGUGAGUAACACGUGAGUAACCUGCCCUUGACUUUGGGAUAACCUCAGGAAACUGGGGCUAAUACCGGAUAGGAGCUCCUGCUGCAUGGUGGGGGUUGGAAAGUUUCGGCGGUUGGGGAUGGACUCGCGGCUUAUCAGCUUGUUGGUGGGGUAGUGGCUUACCAAGGCUUUGACGGGUAGCCGGCCUGAGAGGGUGACCGGCAACAUUGGGACUGAGAUACGGCCCAGACUCCUACGGGAGGCAGCAGUGGGGAAUAUUGCACAAUGGGUGGAAGCCUGAUGCAGCAACGCCGUGUGCGGGAUGACGGCCUUCGGGUUGUAAACCGCUUUCGCUCAUGACGAAGCUUUGUGUGACGGUAGUGGGUAAAGAAGCACCGGCUAACUACGUG
rnacentral:rRNA from 1 species